UACGUAGGGUGCAAGCGUUGUCCGGAAUUAUUGGGCGUAAAGAGCUCGUAGGCGGUCUGUCGCGUCUGCUGUGAAAUCCCGAGGCUCAACCUCGGGUCUGCAGUCGAUACGGGCGGACUGGAGUUCGGCAGGGGAGACUGGAAUUCCUGGUGUAGCGGUGAAAUGCGGCAGAUAUCAGGAGGAACACCGGUGGCGAAGGCGGCCAACUGGGCAGUAACUGACGCUGAGGCGCGAGAGCGUGGGGAGCAAACAGG
rnacentral:rRNA from 1 species